UAUUUUCAAUCGUUUUCAGAACCGCAAAACCACCAAAUAUGAAUGCAGAAUUUCAAAAGGCAUGUAGGGUACGCCAAAAAAUUAAGAAAAUUUAAAAUAAACGAGAAAGAACCGCAAAACCACCAAAUACGAAUGCAGAAUUUCAAAAGGCAUAUAGGGAACGCCAAAAAAUUAAGAAAAUUGAAAGUAAACGAGAAAGAUAUGUUAAAGUAUUAAUCAUCGAUGAAAUAAGCAUGAUUAGUGCAGAGCUAUUAGGCAAAAUUGACAUGCUUUUUAAACAGA